AAGAAUUUAAAGAGUGCACUUAAUUGUGGCUCGACAUUUUCUACCAUUCACCCUAGUGCACUGUAAUACCUUUUUUUAUUAAACUCUACAAAGUCAUUGAAUGUAACACUUUUUUUAUAAAGAAAUA
rnacentral:misc_RNA from 1 species